GGUCAGUUACAAUACAGCGUGCUGAGGAGUCGUUGUGCCGGCUGUGUGUGUGUGUGGAAACAUAGAUUUAAAAAAAAAAAGACAAAAACUUAUUCAGUGACGUUUGGCUCCGACACGAGGUGCCAUUGACCUUGACGAAGGCGCUGACGAAGAACCGAAGCUCCUUGGAUAAUAUUUGCACAAGAGAAGCCUAUGUUGCAGGAGCUAUAUUGUUGACUGAGAAUUGCGAAUACUUGGGUCGUGCGUCAGAGCGUUAGAGAGAGAGAGAGAGGGAGAGAGAGAGAGUGAAAGAGAGAGAGAGAGAGAGAGAGAGAGAGAGAGAGAGAGAGAGAGAGAGAGAGAGAGAGAGAGAGAGAGAGAGAGAGAGAGAGAGAGAGAGAGAGAGAAAGGGAGACCCAGUAGGCGUGGUAUGUGUUACGUGAUGUAAGCCCUUCACAGAAAAGAAGGAAAAGAAAUACAAUAAUAGGAUAAAAAAGAGAGAGAGAGAGAAACAAGAGGAGGAGCAAAUAGAGAGAAAAAAAAGAAAAAAAGAAAAAAACAACAACAGAAAGUGAAACAAGAAAAAAAAACACGAAAAACUCCUGAAACUAAUUAGUCAGCCUCAACAUCAUCAUUCGGACGGCGUUUCUCGUGUCAGCACCCGCAUUCGUCAGCCGCUCUGCCUGCUUCUCCGUGACACAUCCCGCGGAACCGUAGCGACGAUGGCACAAGGGAACAGGACCACCGCCUUUGGACUCGCUCGUAUCCUGAAGGUGACGCUGCCAAUCCUGGUCUUGGUGACAGCUGCUUGCGCCUCGUUACAGAAUGACUCUUCAGACUUCGGCACCUGCUGGAAACUCCGGCGCUCGGACGGGUCCUGCGGUCGCUUCCUUCGGGCGAAUGUGACAAAGGAGUCCUGCUGCUUCGGGCGUCACCGGAGGGGCUGGAGCGGCUCUUCGGGACUCCCUUCGCCGGGUUCCUUCGCCUCGAACUCCUCCAGCAGGAAUUCCGUUAUUAGCGACCCGCCUCCGCCCAUGUGCUCUCCUUGUUCCCGUGAGUGUUUUUUUUGGGGGGGCGUUGUGUUCGUUUUU
rnacentral:lncRNA from 1 species